rnacentral:rRNA from 1 species
AACGCGAAGAACCUUACCCAGGCUUGAACUGCGAGUGACCAGCGAUGAAAGUCGCCUUCCGCAAGGACACUCGUAGAGGUGCUGCAUGGCUGUCGUCAGCUCGUGUCGUGAGAUGUUGGGUUAAGUCCCGCAACGAGCGCAACCCUUGUCCUCUGUUGCCAUCACGUAAUGGUGGGCACUCUGGGGAGACUGCCGGUGAUAAACCGGAGGAAGGUGGGGAUGACGUCAAGUCAGCAUGGCCUUUAUGUCCAGGGCUACACACGUGCUACAAUGGUCGGUACAAACCGUCGCAAACCCGUGAGGGGGAGCUAAUCGGAAAGAGCCGGCCUCAGUUCGGAUUGGAGUCUGCAACUCGACUCCAUGAAGCUGGAAUCGCUAGUAAUCGCGGAUCAGAACGCCGCGGUGAAUACGUUCCCGGGCCUUGUACACACCGAGUAUA